AUGCAAGUCGAACGGCAGCACAGGAGAGCUUGCUCUCUGGGUGGCGAGUGGCGGACGGGUGAGGAAUACAUCGGAAUCUACUUUUUCGUGGGGGAUAACGUAGGGAAACUUACGCUAAUACCGCAUACGACCUACGGGUGAAAGCAGGGGAUCUUCGGACCUUGCGCGAUUGAAUGAGCCGAUGUCGGAUUAGCUAGUUGGCGGGGUAAAGGCCCACCAAGGCGACGAUCCGUAGCUGGUCUGAGAGGAUGAUCAGCCACACUGGAACUGAGACACGGUCCAGACUCCUACGGGAGGCAGCAGUGGGGAAUAUUGGACAAUGGGCGCAAGCCUGAUCCAGCCAUACCGCGUGGGUGAAGAAGGCCUUCGGGUUGUAAAGCCCUUUUGUUGGGAAAGAAAUCCAGCUGGUUAAUACCCGGUUGGGAUGACGGUACCCAAAGAAUAAGCACCGGCUAACUUCGUGCCAGCAGCCGCGGUAAUACGAAGGGUGCAAGCGUUACUCGGAAUUACUGGGCGUAAAGCGUGCGUAGGUGGUCGUCUAAGUCCGUUGUGAAAGCCCUGGGCUCAACCUGGGAACUGCAGUGGAUACUGGACGACUAGAGUGUGGUAGAGGGUAGCGGAAUUCCUGGUGUAGCAGUGAAAUGCGUAGAGAUCAGGAGGAACAUCCAUGGCGAAGGCAGCUACCUGGACCAACACUGACACUGAGGCACGAAAGCGUGGGGAGCAAACAGAAUUAGAUACCCUGGUAGUCCACGCCCUAAACGAUGCGAACUGGAUGUUGGGUGCAAUUUGGCACGCAGUAUCGAAGCUAACG
rnacentral:rRNA from 1 species